UAGUGCGCGGCUCCAUGAGCGGCAUACAAUCUUAACACAUCGUUCUCGCAUCGCUGCAACAUCUGAACGUGAUGUGUGAAGCGGUACCUCGUACUUGGCACAUGAAACCGGAACUUCAUUGCAAUCCCGUGGGAGUUCCGGCGGGCGCCUUGUCACCCCCGGCUACCCUCUCGCCACCCGGCAGCCCCAGCAUAAUCACGCUGCCAUCCUCGCCUUGGAGCCCAGGUGUACCGGGAAGCAGUUCGAGCACCAUCGCCUCCACCAAUGCACCUACGGGCCUUUGUCAACCCGUCCCCGAUCGUUUCAGCGCCUUCACCCUCGUGUCGAAUUACAAUCCCGAUCUGAGACUGCAAGGUCUACCACUCAGCGCUACCGUUGCCGCGCGAGACAUGCGUUGCGGUCUUAUGUACGGCGGCUACGGGGCAUCUGGGGGUGCCUGGUGGGCCCGUCACAUGGGCCUGCUGCUGCCACAUUCUUUGCUCCCGCCUACGAGAAUCCCAUCCCAACAGACGACACCGGUCACGAACUGCUCGCCCGUUCAUUCGGAACCUCUCAGUCCGGCACGUCCCGGAUCACCCCGAAGAUCCACGCCGGAGAAGGCCAAAUUCGAGGAGGAGGUGCCGUUGAACCUCAGCACGAAGCCGAGCGACGUCUCGUCGAGCGUCGGCAGCAGAAAAAGUGAAAUCUGGUCGCCGGGCUCGGUGUGCGAGAGGGAGGCCAGGGAAACGAGAGCACCGUCCUCCAGGAGUCCGUCCUCGACCCCUAUAAUUACGCGGCAAAUUCAUCAUUCACCGCUUACACCGCCCUCCUCGACGGAAAGGACUUUUCAAUGUAAGCAGUGCGGUAAGGCCUUCAAACGGUCAAGCACGCUCAGCACUCACCUGCUGAUCCACUCCGACACGAGGCCUUAUCCCUGUCAAUAUUGUGGCAAGAGGUUUCACCAGAAGUCGGACAUGAAGAAGCACACCUACAUCCACACCGGUGAGAAGCCGCACAAGUGCAUCGUGUGCGGCAAGGCGUUCUCCCAGAGCAGCAACCUGAUCACGCACAUGCGUAAGCACACUGGUUACAAGCCGUUUCAGUGCGGCCUCUGCGACAAGGCGUUCCAGAGGAAGGUCGAUUUACGUAGACACCGGGAAGGCCAGCAUCCGGCGGCGCCGGCGCUCGAUUAUCGCUCGCUGCAGGUGCCACCGCAGCAGCAGCAACACCAGCAGCCAAAUGGCAACCGGCACUCGCCGAUACCCCCGCACUCGGCAUCCUCCGCGGGUUACCACGCGGUGAUAUCUGUGCCCGGCAGUAGCUGAGACCUGUUCAUCUGACAGACGCUUCGUCCGUGAACGCGCACCAAGUCCUCGAACCGAGCGGCUCUAGUGAUGUAUCGAUGGUGUCGACGUCUCGGUAUGUCCGGGAUGUUCGCGAAAGUGUAACGCGAGCCAUCGAAGUAGGAUACGUGCAUCUCGGGACGGAGCGAAAGAAAUCGACGUGUCACGGGAGUGACAUAGGUCGGUCUUAUCUCAAAUACACACAGCCGCGAUUGCACGCGUGAUUGCACGAUACAGAUUCGAGGCGCCGUAAUUCAAGGAUUGUCAGCCGGCGCCGAAGCUCGCUGUCUCGCUUACGCUCAGGUGAGAAACGGAACUGUAAAUAUUUUCCGUCGAAAUCACCACACCGCAAUAUCUCUCCGCCGGAGCUGUAAUUACGGAGCGUGAAGCAACGUAAUCGAACGCAAAGUAUUUACAUAAAUCAGUCGGACGACCGUGUGUUUAAUUAAAAUCCACCCAAUGCCUCGGUAUAUUUCUGACGUAGUUAGAAUUAUUAUUAUAUAAGCUUCGACGCCUAUUACUUCUGACGUCUUCUUCAGCCGAUUCUCUUCAUGUGAUCCGACGGACAUCGCGUUGUCCGAUCAAAAUUAAUCAAGCAUGGCAGAUGAAUGAAUCCAAAAAGAGUUUGAAGUUCACGCAAAUAAGAACAUCUACGAAUGUCUACGAUUCAAUAUCGACUGAUCUCUUUCGCAUGGUCGUAUCUCGCUUUUAUGCAAUUUCUGUUAGUGCUUGAACUUUUUGUGCUUUUUGUGCUUGAACAUUCUUUCUGGACCCGAACGAGCGUUUAACAGCAGAAAUUGCGUAAAAUCGAGAUACGACUUUGCGAAAGAGAUCAGUCGAUAUUGUUGUCUUGAUUGCAAGAUGUACUGAUAAUUGAGAAGACUCAAUUCUUCAUCUUUUGAUUUCUAAAGUGUUUUUCAAGAGACCCGCUUUUAUUAAUAUUACUCCAAUCAGAGUAUAUUAAUGAUUAAAUUUCCAAUAUUUGGAUCGUUAAAAACAAUAACUAUAGUGAUCUGUAAAACUUAACAAAUCGUACAAGAACUGUAUAUAUUUCUCGAGGCACGAUGCAGGAUGUUGUGUGCAUUCGUAAAUUUCUGCUCUUACAAUUGUUAUUUUCAAUAUUUUCAUGCUUACAAUACACGCGCGCCCGCAUACACGCACACACACACACGAGCGAGUGAGAAUUGAAUCAAAAUCGGGAAAAUUUCGAUAUUUUCAUUUGGGCUCCUAAUUUUCCUUGCAACAAAUUUAAGUAAUUCAACUUGAACGGCCUGAAGUUACUAGUGAAAUAAAGUGCCUGAACGUGCCUUUCUUCGGUGUCGUAUAUCCGACUUAUAUUUAUGAAAUAUCACUGCACUCCUACUGUAUUAAAGUCUUUCUUCACCUUUAAAUACAUAAAUAAUAUGUGUGUUUGGUGUACACUUAAGCUUCGUAAUGCAAAUGAUAUCAAAAUUGUUCUAAACACGUUCCUUUAAUUAUAUACUAUUAGUUUUAAUGUAAUGUAACGCGAUAUUUUCUGUGAAUUUCAAGUGAGCAUCUUGGGAGAGAUUCUCUAGAAAAUCAUUAACACAGAUUUCGCAUAAUCAACAAAGUCAUAACUGAUAAUAGAAAAUUUAUUUGUCCAGUGAACUAUUGAGAAGCUAUUCUUUUUACGUGUCAUCUCUAUUAUGCAAUUGAUAUCUGACAGCCAUAAAACAAAAUAACGUUGUGCACAAGAUGUGUCGACAGCUCUGAGUUGAAUAUUGCGAAUAUUAUUUUCUAUCACGUAUCAUAGUCCAUCGAAGCCAAAGUCAUCUUCUUCUUAAAAAUGAUAUGCCGUGUCGGAACGUCAUCGAUUUAACGAGAUAUUUCAUGAUCAAUAUUUUCAAAUUCCUCUACUUAUUAUGUGCGACUUUAAUUGCCCUCGCGCCCUUUAGCAUACUUUUGUAAUUAUCGGUACAAAUAUUAUCGAAUGACGUAUCUUGUAUCGUCGUUAAUUAAGAUAUAUAAUGCUUCCCGCGGGAAGUUAUUGCUGUGAAAGAAAAGCGUGAAUGGAAGUGAUUAUUUUUGUAUCGAUGCAGAGAAAAGCGAAAUGUGUAGCUUAAGUGAUAAGCACGCUGUACUUUAUCUGCACAAAAGGAAAAAAAGGAACCUCGAUGUUACAAUAUACACGAUCGCAGGCCUGCGAUUGCUGUGUGAAAUUUCUAAAAUGUGGCUUUCAAGCACGCGCGAAGAUUUAUGUAAAUAUAGGAUUUCUCCUACCGUAUAUCCGAUUUUUCAAAAUCUCGGAAAAAUUAUCCGUCCCGUCGCGUGAACGUAAGCGAAAGAGAGAUCGCGAGAAAUGACGACGCAAACGAAAUUUGCAUAUCCGGCAACGAAUCAUAGCGGCUAGAGGACCAAAGAUAGCAUAAGCUGGACCUGAUCGGUUGGUAGCGCAAUCGGGUUUUCUCCUUUUUUUUUUGCGGAAUUUAAUUAUAAUAACAUAAACAAAACGAGUUGUCGCACGAGCACGACGAGAUAACUCGCGCGAAAACUCGAGGCUUACCAGAGAUCCCGGUCCUACGUACGUACAGAUUGUAACAUACCAUUAGGAUUAGCUAGUUUAUUCCUUAUGUGCGACGAUUAAGAUUAGUUUAGAUUAAUUGUUCGACAACGACGUUACUUCGCUGGCAAUGAAAAGCCCGCGGCAGAGACCACGAUCGACGAGUCGAAUCGCGCGGAGGCAUCGUUCUCCUGUUUUAAUUAGCAUAUUAAAACGGGUAAAUUAAUUAAUUAGCGAAUACCAUAGCGCGACACGUCUGACACGAGGCUCGUGCUUUAAGCAAUUUUGUGCUAUAUAUAUAUUACGAUUAUAUGAAACUUAUGCGAGAAGGAUCGCGACCGAUAGAUCAGUAAGUAUAGAUAUCUUUCAAGAUAUUCGUGUAUGUAUCUAUCGAGUGUGAAAAGAAAGAAAAACGCGCGUAUGUAUGUCUGAGAGAGAAAGAGAAAGAGAGAGAGAGCGCAAUAGUGAUAAAAGAUUUUGCGAGCAUGAGCGAGCGAUUCAUGUUAAUCGGUAAAAACCAAAAAUAUGUUUAUUAUUGCUAAAGAAGAUAUUGAUCGAAUAAAUUGUUUUUCUUAUAAA